rnacentral:rRNA from 1 species
ACCGACCCACUUACCAGUUGUUGCUGAAGGUGUAUUGCUUUCAAUGGCAGACUACAUGGGUCACCUCUACAUCCGUACAGGUACACCUGAGUAUGUGCGUUUGAUUGAACAAGGAUCGUUGCGUACCCUUGGUGGUCAUACCACGGUGAUUGCUGCGUUCUUUGCGGCGUUUGUAUCGAUGUUGAUGUUUGUUGUUUGGUGGUUCCUCGGUAAAAUCUACUGCACAGCAUUCUUUUACGUUAAAGGUAAAAGAGGCCGUAUUGUUAAAAGAGAUGACGUUACUGCGUUUGGUG